rnacentral:lncRNA from 10 species
CAAGGUUGUUUUGUUUUGUAAAAAUAUGUGGUUUUUCUGUCUUAACAGCAUUCACUUUUUACGUUGCUACGUGUGGGUUUCUUUUCUUUUUUUCUUUUAAUAUUUCUUUCUUUCCAACACAGGAAUACUCUGAAGAUAGUAACUCCGAGCCAAAUGUGGAUUUGGAAAAUCAGUACUAUAAUUCCAAAGCAUUAAAAGAAGAUGACCCAAAAGCGGCAUUAAGCAGUUUCCAAAAGGUUUUGGAACUUGAAGGUGAAAAAGGAGAAUGGGGAUUUAAAGCACUGAAACAAAUGAUUAAGAUUAACUUCAAGUUGGUAAGAUUUGUUUUGAGGGGAAUUAAACUAAUAAAUUUUGUAGGUAAAAACCUCAUCACGACAAAGUACUAUUAUAUCUUCUUUUCUAAAGUACUUCUUUGGAUGUGUUUUUAUAUUUAGUCUGCUCUGCAGUUGGGACUAUAGUAAUACUAAGUAAAAAAAACAAAUUCUUCAUAGGAUACAGAAGUUUUCUAUUUAAGAAAACUUACUCUUUUAGAUGCAUUUACAGUAUUUGCCUUUUUUUUUUUUCCCCCGCUCUGUCACCCAGGCUGGAGUGCAAUGGUGCAAUCUUGGUUCACUGCAACCUCUGCCUCCUGGGUUCAAGUGAUUCUCCUGCCUCAGCCUCCUGAGUAGCUGGAACUACAGGCACAUGCCACCAUGCCCAGCUAAUUUUUUGUGUUUUUAGAAGAGACGGGCUUUCACCAUGUUAGCCAGGAUGGUCUCGAUCUCCUGACCUCGUGAUCUGCCUGCCUUGGCCUCCCAAAGUGCUAGGAUUACAGGCGUGAGCCACCGCACCCUGCCAGGGCUGCAUUAUUAAUAGAUUGACUUUUCCACAAAGGAUUAGUGUUUACUUUGGAGUUUUAAAAUUCUCCUGUUUAUUAUAAAGAGUUUCUCUUCCAUUGACUAGGGCCAAAACGUUAGCAUUAUGCUUAACUCUUCUCAUUGUCUAUUACCCCACAAAUAAUCCAUUGGCAAAUCCACAUGGCUUUACAUCCAGUAUGACUGUGCUUACCAUUUCUACCUCUGCUACUCUGGUCCAAGGCACCAUGAUUUCUUACCUGGAUUAUUGAGAUAGCCUCUUAACUGGUCUCCUUACUUUCAUCCUUACCCUGCUACAGUUUUCCACAAGUAGCAGAGUGAUCCUUUUAAAAUGUAAGUCAGAUUAUGCCAUUCUUUUGCUCCAUAUCUUCUAGUGGUCCC